CUCUUGAUCAUAUUAACCCUGAUUCUGAUUCUCUUCGCUCUGACUGUUGGACUUGCACUCUACAAAAUUAGACAAUUGUCCAGCAAGCUGAAGGCUCAGAAUGAGGCAGCAGGCACAUAUGC